GAUGAACGCUGGCGGCGUGCCUAACACAUGCAAGUCGAGCGAGAAGAUUAUGAGUGAACCUUCGGGUGAGUGAUUAAUUGGAAAGCGGCGGACGGGUGAGUAACGCGUGGGUAACCUGCCCUGUACAGAGGAAUAGCCAUUGGAAACGAUGAUUAAUGCCUCAUAAGACCACAGCACCUCCUGGUGCAGUGGUAAAAACUCCGGUGGUACAGGAUGGACCCGCGUUAGAUUAGCUAGUUGGUGAGGUAAUGGCUCACCAAGGCUACGAUCUAUAGCCGACCUGAGAGGGUGAUCGGCCACACUGGAACUGAGACACGGUCCAGACUCCUACGGGAGGCAGCAGUGGGGAAUAUUGCACAAUGGGCGAAAGCCUGAUGCAGCAACGCCGCGUGAGUGAUGAAGGCCUUCGGGUCGUAAAACUCUUUUCUUGGGGAAGAAUACAUGACG
rnacentral:rRNA from 2 species